AUGGAGCUGAGGAAGCGCCCGCGGCCGCGGCGCCUCGACCCCGACUUCGUCUCGUCGCCGCCGCCCACGCCGCCCAGGAAGCGGCCGCGGAAGCAGGACGCGGAGAGGAAGCAGCCACGGCGGCCCGCGGCGGCGAAGAGGCAGCCAGCGCCGAGCAAGAGGGCCAGGUGCGCGCAGCAGGGCAUCGGGAGCCCCGUCGCCGGGCUCCAGCCUUCCAGGUGCUGCAGGAUCGUGGCGCCGCUGUCGCGCGUCUCCUUCAUCCCCCGCUCUCGCGUCCCCUUCAACUGGUAUGAGCCGGACAUCUGGACGGAGGUGGCCAAGCACCUGCACGGCGCUGACCUGCUGAGGCUCUCCGCCACCUGCCUCUGGUUCUUCCGCCUCCUCUACGAGGACUCCAUCUGGCGCUACGCCUUCCUCCGCGACCUCUCGCUCCACACCAACGAUCCCAAGAUGCUCAGGCUCCUCCAGGUUCCCCGCCCGUUCCACCGCUCCUGGCGCCUCCUCUACGCCACCGCCUUCGACGAUACCCAUGCAUACUGCUUCCGUCAGCCCGAGAAGCACAUUGAGUGGUUUCGCAUUGGUGGAUUCCUGAUGGACACGCCGAAGCUGCUGCUGACGGCGAAGCUGGCACUGCCACCGUGGAGGCCGAUCCUGGAUGAUGGCCCGGAGAUCUCCAUCGGAUUCAUGGGAGCCUGCUUGCUCACCAACGUCCGCCCCGGGAUCUGGAUCGCUGAUAUGAACAUGGUGCGAUGCCCCGUGUGCAACCUCAACAAGUGCGAAGGGACGAUGCAGGUUCUGGACGCGCGGCACUGCGAGCUGUACCUGGAGAACAAGUUCAGGGAUGGGACCUGGGAGUAUGAGGACCUCGGCAGUCACUUCAGCAAUGAGAAGCUGGAUACUGCCGCUGCUGCCAUCUUCAACUACGACUACAUCGAUUCCCCAUGUGUCAAAAAUAUUCUCAACUCCAAGUCUUGGAUCCGGGAUCGCACCAACCUGCUGCCCAAGGGAUGCUUCACCCCGGUCGCUGUCGCCCUCAGCAGCAACCUCAAGCCCAACGAAGGGUUGCUGUCGAGGUUCCAGGCGAUGCGGGACAUGUCGAGGGGCGGGCAGAUCGUGUCUGUCAGGAUCACGCAGCAGCUCCUGUGA
rnacentral:rRNA from 1 species